rnacentral:rRNA from 1 species
UACGGGAGGCAGCAGUGGGGAAUAUUGCACAAUGGGCGCAAGCCUGAUGCAGCGACGCCGCGUGAGGGAUGACGGCCUUCGGGUUGUAAACCUCUUUCGCCAGGGACGAAGCGCAAGUGACGGUACCUGGAUAAGAAGCACCGGCUAACUACGUGCCAGCAGCCGCGGUAAUACGUAGGGUGCGAGCGUUGUCCGGAUUUAUUGGGCGUAAAGAGCUCGUAGGCGGUUUGUCGCGUCGGCCGUGAAAUCUCCACGCUUAACGUGGAGCGUGCGGUCGAUACGGGCAGACUUGAGUUCGGUAGGGGAGACUGGAAUUCCUGGUGUAGCGGUGAAAUGCGCAGAUAUCAGGAGGAACACCGGUGGCGAAGGCGGGUCUCUGGGCCGAUACUGACGCUGAGGAGCGAAAGCGUGGGGAGCGAACAGGAUUAGAUACCCUGGUAGUCCACGCUGUAAACGUUGGGCGCUAGGUGUGGGCGACAUCCACGUUGUCCGUGCCGUAGCUAACGCAUUAAGCGCCCCGCCUGGGGAGUACGGCCGCAAGGCUAAAACUCAAAGGAAUUGACGGGGGCCCGCACAAGCGGCGGAGCAUGUGGAUUAAUUCGAUGCAACGCGAAGAACCUUACCUGGGCUUGACAUGCGCCAGACAUCCCCAGAGAUGGGGCUUCCCUUGUGGUUGGUGUACAGGUG